AACGAACGCUGGCGGCAUGCCUAACACAUGCAAGUCGAACGAGACCUUCGGGUCUAGUGGCGCACGGGUGCGUAACGCGUGGGAACCUGCCCUUAGGUUCGGAAUAACUCCCCGAAAGGGGUGCUAAUACCGGAUAAUGUCUUCGGACCAAAGAUUUAUCGCCUUUGGAUGGGCCCGCGUUGGAUUAGCUAGUUGGUAGGGUAAAAGCCUACCAAGGCGACGAUCCAUAGCUGGUCUGAGAGGAUGAUCAGCCACACUGGGACUGAGACACGGCCCAGACUCCUACGGGAGGCAGCAGUGGGGAAUAUUGGACAAUGGGCGAAAGCCUGAUCCAGCAAUGCCGCGUGAGUGAAGAAGGUUUUCGGAUCGUAAAACUCUGUUGGUAGAGAAGAACGUUGGUGAGAGUGGAAAGCUCAUCAAGUGACGGUAACUACCCAGAAAGGGACGGCUAACUACGUG
rnacentral:rRNA from 1 species